AGGCAUAUGCUCGCGCCUCGGUGUGAAGGAGCUCUCGCCUGUGUUUCUUGCUAUCCCCAUCUAAAUGCUGGAGCGAGGAGUUAAAUUAUUCCAGAAGGCCCGCCAGGGUCUGAUUUGCCACUGUCUGCUUCCUCGUUGCCUUUGAAUGGGACCCUUGAUCCAAGGCUUUCAGAGACCAGCCGGUGCUGAUGGGGGUCCGUGACUUGGCGGUGGCGCCUGUUUGCUCCUUCUCUGUCUCGAGCAUGGUUUUCUAUCCUGCCGGGGAGGGCGAGAGCGCUGGGCAGAGGUGGCACCUGACCCGCUAGAACUCCGAUGUCACUGCUGUGGCUGUUACUCCCCUCGGCAAGAGUCAAGGCGCACGCAGGACGUGAAUCCUGCAAUGGACUGACCUCAUCUUCCCGAGGCUGUGAUGUUUCAGGAGAGUUUCACUAUUGCUGACCAACUGAGACCACCAGGAGCUCCUAAGUGCAAAGAAUGGCUACAUCUUUUCUUCUGGAUACCACCAGAUCAUUCCAGCCACCUGCCUUUGUGGUGUCUCCAGACAAGGGCUGACAACCAUCGAAGCAUCGAAACCCUAAGGCUACUUGGAGAGAAGAAGACUGUCCCUGGAGAAGGCGUGGGUGACUGAUUUUUAAGAAAUCGGCAACACGGAAGCUGAUUAUAAAAUAUUCAUAAGAAGCUGGCUUUUACAGGUAAUCGCUUUUUUCCUUCUACUUCUUCCCAAACCUUCCAUUUCUUCAAAUAGUACAAUUUUUAGGACAUUGAAAGCUUAUAUAUUUAAUGUUGCUAGUUUAUAUCUUUAUAACCCAUCAAUCUAGCUUUUGUGGUCUUUGAUUCUUUGGAGUUUGAGAGUUUUUAGAAUUAAUUUCAAAAGGAUGUUUGCUUCUUUUUAAAGUAAUUUAGGCAGAGUUCAUUUGAAACCACAAACACUGUCUUUGAACUCUGGAUGUAUAUGUAUGUAUAUGUAUAUUAUAUGCAUAUAUGUGUGUCUAUAUAUCUGAGAAUUCAGGGUUUAUAUGCAUUUCAGAAGGUUGUUAUUAAUAUUUUAGCUUCAGUUCUACUUGAUUACAACUUAGCACUUUCUGGAACUCUUCAAUAUCCAUUGCGUGGGUGGGGAUUGAGUUUGGCUCUCAUGAUCCAGGCAGCUUCCUUUGGGUGCCGCUGAAGCACUUUGUCCCACCUAGAAAGGUUUACAAGCAUCCAUGAUCUGGUGUCCAAAAAAAAGUACCUUUCCCUUUGUUUGUAAAUGACAGCCCCAUGUUUUCACAGUUGGUUGCUAUGUGGUAGUGUCCUGUGCAAUCUUGUUUCAUGUAAUGACCCAAAAUGUCCUUUGGAAAAAGAAUCCCAUUUCCUUCCCCAACACAAAGAAGUUUCUUGAAGAAAGCUUCCAAUGACUACUUCAGGGGAGGCAUCUAUU
rnacentral:lncRNA from 1 species